rnacentral:rRNA from 1 species
AGUGAACGCUGGCGGUAGGCCUAACACAUGCAAGUCGAACGGCAGCACAGUAAGAGCUUGCUCUUACGGGUGGCGAGUGGCGGACGGGUGAGGAAUACAUCGGAAUCUAGUUUUUCGUGGGGGAUAACGUAGGGAAACUUACGCUAAUACCGCAUACGACCUACGGGUGAAAGCAGGGGAUCUUCGGACCUUGCGCGAUUGAAUGAGCCGAUGUCGGAUUAGCUAGUUGGCGGGGUAAAGGCCCACCAAGGCGACGAUCCGUAGCUGGUCUGAGAGGAUGAUCAGCCACACUGGAACUGAGACACGGUCCAGACUCCUACGGGAGGCAGCAGUGGGGAAUAUUGGACAAUGGGCGCAAGCCUGAUCCAGCCAUACCGCGUGGGUGAAGAAGGCCUUCGGGCUGUAAAGCCCUUUUGUUGGGAAAGAAAAGCAGCAGGUUAAUACCCCGCUGUUCUGACGGUACCCAAAGAAUAAGCACCGGCUAACUUCGUG